rnacentral:ncRNA from 1 species
UCAGCGAAGCUUUUGUCUAGUUAUAUAGCCGCGUUCCCCUUUUUACGUCAACAACCUUCGGAGUUUGAGCCUCACGCUAGUGAUGUUCAUUCAUUCUGUCCUAUUCACUUUCCGGUAGGAUUGUGGUCUACCAUAGUAGAAACGGAUAACGGGUAAUUAGGGUUCGAUUCAGGAGAGGGAGCCUGAAAAACGGGUACCAUAUCUAAGGAAGACAGCAGGCGCGCGAAUUACUCAAUCCCGAUACAGUAAGGAGACAUGA